GCAAUAAAUAAGUCGCCACAUUGCAGGCACCUGACUUGGAGAGCUGCUCAUCUGAACAGACCUUUUGCCCAAAGUCUGACGUUGGAGAUUUGAGUCUCUUCAAACCUUUCUUAGUUCGGAGCUUUACAGCAUUAUUCAGAGAUGAUUGCCACGAAGCUGUGUCUGUUGCUUCUGCUACUCCUGACUGUGAGCAACCACGUAGAAGGCCGCGGCGGCAAAGGACGGUCAGGCGAUGACAAUGACGAUGAGCCGGCGAACGAAGGAUGCGUAAAGAAGGAAAAGUUGGAGGAAAUACAAAAUUAUCUGAGACUAGCCCGGAGAGCUAUCAAAAAAGCGUUGGGAGACUUGUAGGAUUACCAACCCUGUUUAUUAAAGCUGACAAUAAAGUUGUCCUACAAUCACAA